UCAAUAGUGCAGAGCUAAAAGCAGCGAGCCAGCGCGAGUAGCGAGAGGAAAAAACGAAGUGGACCGAGCUAGCAGCGACACAAAAGCAGACCUAACCCGCGUCUUUCCGAGCCCUCCCUGCCACCGCCGCCACCCCUCUCCUCUGCCCAGCACCUCCUCCUCCCCUUCCUCUCCUCCUUCCCUGCCUCCGGAUCCAGACCAUGUGACCGGAGUUCAGCGGCAGAGCCCCCAGCCCCGCGCCGGAGUUCAGGGGCAGGGCGGAGCAAAUAGCCGGGCCGACGCCAGGGUUCGGCCCCGGCCCCAAGGGGAGUUGGUGAUGGCGUCGUGAGAGGCUAGGGCCUGUAGAGCCCCCAGCCCCGCAACGGAGUUCAGCGGCAGGGGCGGAGCGAAUAGCCGGGCCGAGCCGGGCCGACGCCCAGGUUCGGCCCCGGCCCCCAGGGGAGUUGGCGGCGGCGUCGUGAGAGGCUAGGGCCUCCUCCCUGUGAAAGGCAACUGCGCUUGUCCUCGGCAGCGGCGAUCUAGGCACCGGUCCAGGGUGAUUUACCUCUUGAAGCCUCUUUCAGAUUGUUCCAAUUCAGUCCCCUCUCAGUUUGUGCUAAAAGAAAGUUCUUAUUAGGGAUUUGAGUUUAUCCUUUUAACGUGUGCUUGUGCUAGAGCAUCGGCGCUCUCUCGGCUACGCCUGGGUGUUCGAGCUGUCAGUGUGUACAGGAGCAGCAGCCACCACCGCUGCCAAGGAGCUCCAUCAAUCACGUGCUCACUCUUGCUUCACAGACUAUGUAUGGUCAGUUCAGGUUCCAACUUUCCAAGCUACAAGUCGAUGACUGUAACUGUCCCAAGAGGCUAGAAGAUAUCAUGACUUCUUUCUUAGUAGCAGAGCUUACGCUCUUCUGUUUUCUUUGAUACUUUUGAACCCAAAAAAUUGGACCAGUCGCUGUAGAUUUUUAAAUCACAGCUUUGUGGAGAAUAUACACUUUUUUGGGACAUUAAUAGAAGUGUGCUCCUCGCUCAUUUAUUGUACUCCUGUUACUCCUAUCAGAUUUCGACAUUUGUAAACAUGGCUGCGUUCCAGUAUUGAUAAGAAUUCAAGUUCUUGUGUUAUGUUAUGAACAUACCAUACCAAUUUGUUAUGUACCAUACCAACAUACAUACAAUUCAAGCUCCAAGCACACGUUUUCAUUGUGGUAACCAUAAGAAAUUUUACAUUGGAUGGUGAAUUUCAAAAUUAUUUUGUUUGGAUUCUGAAUCAUGCUAGGCAAUGCCGUCUUUGUUAUAAUUUGUUAUAUUGUACACACAGUUCCCUAAGAUUCUCUGGUGGUUUAUUCUAUUAUAAAGCCAGCAAAAGAAGCUGGGGAAGGGAAUUUUUUAAGGACAAGAGAAAAGCCAUGAGUUGUUUUGCUGAGAAAAGAAACAAGUAAUAUCGCAUUCUGAAGGUUCAUUUCCUUAUAUAUGGGUAAAAUGCGUGAGACUGUCGUUUUUGUAUUGGCUUCAAUGGAGGAUGAUUUGCUGUGUAUGUUUCAUUUGCCAUCAAGGCCAUCAUAACGUCCACUCAUGUCUAAUCCUAAUGGUGAAAUGAGUGAGCCAAUCCAUCUGUAUCGGCUUUAAGGGAGCAGUCUUAUUUCAAUUGCCAUCAAGGCGAUCACGACAACGACUCAUCUUUAUUCCUGAUGGUGAACCGAUUUUGACUGUUGUUUAUGGUUCUGAAAAUGAUUGCUGGGGAAGGAGGACCAUUCGUAAUUUGGCCUCAAGGACAUGCUCUGUGCAGGUUGCGACCUUCCUUCCCUCCUCUUACUGGUUUGCUUUUAGUAUUAUUAAACUGCACGGCACAGAAGAUUUUUUUUGGUUAUGCCUAGACCUGAAUGUUUUGGGGGUGAUGCAGCUACACUGACAGAUGAAUAUUUGUAGAGAAAUGUCUUGGAAAUUGCAAGUAGAUGGCUACUCUACACUGGCAGAUGCUUACUAAUUUGUAACAAUAAGAUCAAGUCGCAUGUCAUAUGUCGAUUCUCUUACAGAUUAAAUUGUGAGCAUAUUCAGACACAUAUGUCGGUCUGGUGAGCAUAUUACAGUCUUCACCAGAUGCAUUUGUGUUUCGUAAAAAUGCAUUGAUGCUAUGUGGAGAUUACUCUUGCACUGUUUUUCUACUAUCUUGUUGUUUCUCUGUUUUUGCAUUUUAAGUUCCCAAAUGCUUAGAUAGUUAAUGCAGUGUUUUAAGUUCACAUUUUAAGUUUCUCUGUUUUUGCAUUUUAAAUUCAGAAUGACACUUAUGAUUCCCAGGGGAAGAAGCGGUUUCCAAAUGAGGAAGGUUAGUUUAAUUUGCCAAGAAAAUAAAUAUAGUGGACAUUAAUUUGAUUAAUGUAUCUUCCAAUGUUAUUAGAAUACAACACGAAGAAGUCAGAUUUUGUCAAAGUACAGGUCGGAGAGAAAAGUGCCAGGAAGAAAAUGGAAGUAGCAGCCAAAAUCUGACAAGAUGCAAAGGCCCAUAUCGAGUAUGUACUGCAGUCAAAGGGAUUCAGUUCAGUUAUUAAAAUUUCUUGGCAUCCAAAUUACUUAUCAAAUGGUUUUUACUGAGUUGGAGAAGACCUUGUUGCUUCGAUUUUAUCCUGCCAGCAACAAAUUGGAUUGUUUAUUUUAUAUGAAUGCAUUAUUAUUCCCCUCUCA